GCGCAUGUUUCUAAUAAAAUUAAAACUUGCUCUUUAUAUUGUUCUUUCUUCUUUCUCAGAAAAUAUCAACUCUUUUUUUUAUUAAUUUCCUGUUUUUUUUUUCGUUUUUACUUUCGGUGCUACAAUAAACUAUUAAACUGAUUAGUUUUUAUGAGUAGUGAAUAGUUAUUACAAAGGUUAAUUUUUUCGUGUCCUUCCCAACAUUCCAUUUUUACAUAACACACUGUUUUACGUAAUAUCUCUCCAGCAAUAAAAUUAACCACCUGUUUAUUAUGCGAAAUGGAUUAAAAAGGGUGUAGAAACAGAGAGUGAGAGUUCUAAUCGCAAAUGUGGAUUAGUAAUAAAUGUUUAUUGGCUUUAUUAGAGUAGUUGCACAUGAUAGAACAAUUCAGAGCGAUUUUAUUACCUUCUUUUAAUUAAUCUGUAAAAUUCAGGAAAUUGAUCUUAAAAUAAAAAUUCAUGAAGUGUGAAUUUGGAGUGAGCAUUAAAGUGACUCAAUUAGAAGAAGAUUAAAACUGUAAAGUUUUAUAAGCUAUCAUGGCAAAAUUCUACAAUUAAUGAUAUAAGAAAAUUAGAUGAUAUUUCCGAGAAAGAUUCAUUUUUUGUUGUUGUUUCUUGACCUUUUAUUUUUUUUUUUAAAUCUCUCUGCCUCGAGUCAAAAUCAUCGCUAAUCACACCCAGUGGGAAUGCUUGACCCAUAAUCUCUUAUCAGGCAUAUACCGAAAGACAAGGGAAUGUGAUCACAAAUAUAUGGGAUGAAAGUGAUGGAAAAGCAGAGAGUGUAAAUGAUUGGAAAUUCAGGUCGAUUAAUUUGUUGUGAGAACUUUAUUAAAUAUGUAUGGGAAGAAUGCAUUUUACUGCGGACAACGAACUAAUAUCUGCGACUGCAUUCUGUAUAUUACAAAUGAUUAGAGAAAUAGUGUCGCACAAUUUGUGAGAACAAAGACUCCCAUCGAUCGUUGAAUCGAAAAUUGUGUAAAAUAUUUUAUCAGAUUUUAAAGGCUCGCUCUCCUUGGGCAUUAAUGCCGUCCAAGUGCAUUGAAUGAUUAACGAAAGAGGGGUAAUUAGAGUGACGAAAAUGCCAACCAUUUAUGACCUUCUCACUGUUUUAACCGCACAACAGAAGCACUUUGGAUCACUUUUCAAGAGCACUCUCCAUGAUAACGCACGUAUAGGUGGUACUGCUUGUUUUUAAUCACCAACAGCACUUUAUCAAAAUACUCUCAUUUGCUAUGUGAAUGUAAUUUGUAACAUGAAAAUAUGAGGAAAAUUAUCAUUAUUCUUUUUUUCCAAACCAUAUGCAAACUGUAGUCCUAAGUUUUUCCAGACCCUAGUCUCAUGGCUAGCGGGUGGAGGGAAUGUGCGAGCUAAAUGUCCUAGGCGGUGGAUGUACGUGUGAGCGUCGUCCAUCAGCACGCUCCGGUAUGAGUCAGUCUCUCUCUGAGUUUCGUCGGGAGCGCAUGUGGGGCAUUUAGUUAGCCGUGCCCUACCGCUCAAAUAGACUUUCUAGGUAGCCCAACUUAAUUGGACUACAUAUCAGAAGUGGGAUGAAGAUCCCUAAAGAAUCGCAGAAGUGAAACUGCGAGGUGUACGCGAGUGAAAAGUGAGAAAUGUGGUGAAAAGUGUGGAAAAGCUGCGCAAUCGACGGAGCGACAAGAUGGCGGACGGCAAAAUUCUCGGAAAGAGAAUUUCUUCCUCAUCUGGCAGCGAGGUUUCCGGCACCAGGCAGCCAUCAAGGGCCCCAAAAGGGAAACUGUGAGUAGAAACGGGGGGUGUUCCGCCCCCGGGGCACGCGGAAGAGACCAUCGCCGAAGGAAAAAGUGGCGGAUGGGGUGCCCGUUGGUAAGAGAGAGAAAAUAAAUGAAAAAAAAAGAGAAUUAAAUACAUGCGCAUUUUCUUCAUUUUCUUAUGAAAAACUUUAUAUAUGUGUAUAUAUAUGUAAAUGUUGCAACAAAAUCUACCCCUGGGGUGUAUGAGUGUGUGUGUGUGUGCAUGAGAGAUCUCUCCGACACGAAUUAUUCCCGAUUGUUUUCGAUGACGUCGCGUCAAACAGAAAUUUCGAGAAUUUAUGGCAAAUUUUGACAAGUGGUUGCGCGGAAUUUCUUAUUUCUGGCGAUUUUCUCAGAAAAAUAUCGUGGUGAUUGGUGAAAAACAAGGGAAAUUCCCAAAGUGAAUAUCCUGUGCAUGGCAACUGGUGAAGACACGUUGAGUGAAGAAGACAAGUGUUUUGGUUUUGUGCAAGAAAAAGGAACCAAUGUAAGUACAAGAAGGUAAUCCAUGAGGGAAAGAGGAUGACUAAAUGCAGAAAAAUGCUGGAUAGAGCCGCAAGAAGUGAUAAACAAGCACAAAAAAGGACAACAUGUUUUGAGGUUAUGUUGCCAUUGUUUCUUUUUUUGGGGAAAAUUACCGGAUUUGUGAGCAUUUGUCCACAUUAUUUCUGCGAAUAACCUCACAUUAGUCACCCUCGAGCACCGGGGGGUGCGAGAUGUACCAUCUUAUGUACUAAAUGUCGUUGUUUUGGGGUUUUCAGACAACAAUGACUACUCCUCCGACUCAACGUCCACGGCUCACUGCAGUGGAAAUGGAGGCUCUUAUCCCUGCGUUCGAACCUGGACAGAAAAACGGGCUUCUUGCGGAAGAGUGGAUCCGGAAAGUGGAUGAUGCCAUCGUCCUUUUUGAUAUGGAUGCCAAACAAUCCCUGGUGGCUGCAGUGUUUCGGCUUAAAGGUGCCGCCAAGGAUUGGUAUGAAGGAACCCAAGGGAACAUACGAUCGUACAGUGACUUCAAGAAGGAGAUUCUACUGAAUUUUCCGGAGAAAUUGUCCGUGGCCCAAAUUCACCAUGAACUGAGGAUGAGAAAGCGAAAGAAAGAGGAAUCAGUGGAGGAGUAUUUUCACUCGGUGGUGAAGCAGGCCCGGAGGAUUAACCUGCGGGAUGACGAUAUCCGGGACCAUUGACCAUAGUGAGGUCUCGUGAAGGUUGUAUGUCCAAGUAGGGGGAGAAAUUUUAAUGUAGAUGAUCUUAAGAACGCACUGAUUAUGAAAAUUAAUGAAAAUCUUUUAAGAAAAUUUCAUGUGAAUCAGGGAGAGUUGAUUGUGGUCACUGCCCGAAGGAAGAAAAGGAAGAUGUUGUGGAAACUUUUUGAAAUAAAGCAUUUGAAGUAUUGACAUCUUCUGAGUUCGAUAGGUCGUGUCAUUAGACUUUAGGUCUGGGGUUGUGUGUCCCCUUGUGUUAUCCCAUGAAGGCCCUGAAUUAAAGAAUCGAAAUGAAUUAAAAUUCUCGUGGGGUUGGCCUCUUGUGAGAGGGUGUCGCUAUCUUGGCACAAGCAUUUUCCUUGGGAGGGUACUUGGAGUCACAGUAGCGGGGAAUUAUUCUUCUAAUCGAGUUUGCUGCAGUAGUGGUGGGUUGGAUAAAAGAAGAUGAUUCCGUGUUCAAUGGCAUUUACUGUGAAUGUCGUUGGUGCUGGCAAUUAUGCCGUGUUAUCCACAUAAUUGUGGGAAAGGUCCUGUGUCAUACCAUCCGUGGGUGGAGAUUCACUGACCGUGGAUCAGUAAACCUGAUCGUGUAAGGACAGCCGAGCUGAUGUGGGGAAAGAACGAACACCAAGGGUGAGGUGGCUGUACUCCAAACGUGUGGACCAGCUACACUCAUCGGUGACAAGGGACGUCACCACAUCAGUAUGGCCGAAUGUAGUCCUAAGUUUUUCCAGACCCUAGUCUCAUGGCUAGCGGGUGGAGGGAAUGUGCGAGCUAAAUGUCCUAGGCGGUGGAUGUACGUGUGAGCGUCGUCCAUCAGCACGCUCCGGUAUGAGUCAGUCUCUCUCUGAGUUUCGUCGGGAGCGCAUGUGGGGCAUUUAGUUAGCCGUGCCCUACCGCUCAAAUAGACUUUCUAGGUAGCCCAACUUAAUUGGACUACAAAACUGAAAGUUUAUUGAUAGCAUUUACAACAACAAAAAAGUAUUCCUUUGUCGCUGCCCACAAAGCAUUGUUAACAGCAUUUUCGCGCGUCAUAUAAAUCCAGAACGCAAUGCAAAAGUUCUACGCAAUUUUAUUCACAAAGAGUUUCGGCCCGCAUUUGGUUGUAUUUUUAGCAUGAUUUUGUAUAUAGGAGUGGUGAAUAAAAAUGCCUAUUUAUAGUGCGAAGAAUCAAACAAAAACCCUAAUUCAGUUCAUCGUAUCGAAUCAAGGAUUUCCUCAUAAAGGUAUUUUUUCACACACGGUAAAAGCUCUUUAUUUCUUCACUUCAACUGUCCCAUCUUUCGAAUCAGGUGAAGAACCUAUGUGGUCUUUUGUCAUUAUUAAAGACAAUGCAAUGUGGAAAAGUGUGGGAAGUGAGAGCUUUUCCAACUUGUUUUUGAGAUAAUUUGAAUUAAGUAUUGAGUGGAAAUUGGAUAGGAGAUAAUUAUAGAAGUGGAGGAGUUCUCAAAAUUAUUAGACCACACUUAACUUGUUGAGAAUUCUUACAAUUUGAGCAAAAAAACUACCAAGAAUUAUAAAAAGUCAGAAGCAUAUACAUAGUUAAAAAUUUAUUCAAAAAGUUCUAAUGCUUGAUGUUCAUUUUCUAACGUUUGACGUUUAUUCUGAUUUUUCAUGUUUCUUUUCUAUUUGACUUUUGUUUUCAACGUUUGACUACUUUUUAAACGGUGAACUUUUUUUUAAACGUUUGACGUUCACUCUAAUUUAGGUUAUUAGGUUCGACGUUUCUUUUCUAACGUUUGACGUUUUAUUAAAGCAUUUCACUUUUUUAUUAAUUUCUUAUCGCAUGAAUUUUAAUUUAAACGCUCAAACAUUCUUUCUGACUACUUCAUAGACUAGAUUAUUAAUUUUCUGAAUAAAUUAAGUAACUUAGCAUUCAUCUUUUGCUUAAAAGUUUUUUUUUCAUAAAAAAGGUCUUAAAAUAUUAAUUUAUUAUUCCACACUCCAUCACACAUUGACUGGGAGUUGCUAAAUAUUUUAAUUUACCAUAUGUUAGUAAAAAAAUAAUAUUUAUCCCACAAUAUGUAAUCCACUUAGCACGAAUCUAAUCGCUUAGCCUACAGAAAAAAAUCCGCUCUCUGAAAGUUGAUUAAAAUGCCCAAGCGAUUGGUUUGUGGUAUACAUAUUUAUUGAUAACACGAAAAAUGCUACACCCCCACCUACGGUUAUCAUCCCAUACAAUCAUUAUCUUCGUGUGGGUCUCCCAAAUAAUGAACUUCGUCACUCUGUGAGAGAUUGAGAGAUAAUUUUCUGUGUGAUUUCCCGUGUUAAUCCAUGUGUGACAAGAAAAAAAGAAA